rnacentral:rRNA from 1 species
UACGUAGGUGGCAAGCGUUGUCCGGAUUUAUUGGGCGUAAAGCGAGCGCAGGCGGAAGAAUAAGUCUGAUGUGAAAGCCCUCGGCUUAACCGAGGAACUGCAUCGGAAACUGUUUUUCUUGAGUGCAGAAGAGGAGAGUGGAACUCCAUGUGUAGCGGUGGAAUGCGUAGAUAUAUGGAAGAACACCAGUGGCGAAGGCGACUCUCUGGUCUGCAACUGACGCUGAGGCUCGAAAGCAUGGGUAGCGAAC